AACGAACGCUGGCGGCAUGCCUAACACAUGCAAGUCGAACGGGAUCCUAGCUUGCUAGGUGAGAGUGGCGGACGGGUGAGUAACACGUGGGAAUCUGCCUUUUUGGUUCGGGAUAACCGCGGGAAACUGCGGCUAAUACCGAAUGCCCUCGAGAGAGGAAAGAUUUUAUCGCCAGAAGAGGAGCCCGCGUCCGAUUAGGUAGUUGGUGGGGUAAAAGCCUACCAAGCCGACGAUCGGUAGCUGGUCUGAGAGGAUGAUCAGCCACACUGGGACUGAGAUACGGCCCAGACUCCUACGGGAGGCAGCAGUGGGGAAUAUUGGACAAUGGGGGCAACCCUGAUCCAGCAAUGCCGCGUGAGUGAUG
rnacentral:rRNA from 1 species